GACGAACGCUGGCGGCGUGCUUAACACAUGCAAGUCGAACGGAAAGGCCCUGCUUUUGUGGGGUGCUCGAGUGGCGAACGGGUGAGUAACACGUGAGUAACCUGCCCUUGACUUUGGGAUAACUUCAGGAAACUGGGGCUAAUACCGGAUAGGAGCUCCUGCUGCAUGGUGGGGGUUGGAAAGUUUCGGCGGUUGGGGAUGGACUCGCGGCUUAUCAGCUUGUUGGUGGGGUAGUGGCUUACCAAGGCUUUGACGGGUAGCCGGCCUGAGAGGGUGACCGGCCACAUUGGGACUGGGAUACGGCCCAGACUCCUACGGGAGGCAGCAGUGGGGAAUAGUGCACAAGGGGCGGAAGCCUGAUGCAGCAACGCCGCGUGCGGGAUGACGGCCUUCGGGUUGUAAACCGCUUUAGCCUGUGACGAAGCGUGAGUGACGGUAAUGGGGAAAGAAGCACCGGCUAACUACGU
rnacentral:rRNA from 1 species